rnacentral:rRNA from 1 species
UUAGUGAGCGGCGGACGAGCGAGUAACACGUUGGAACCUGCCCCAAACUCAGGGAUAACAUCUAGAAAUAGGUGCUAAUACCUGGAUAGUCCCGCAAGGGUAAAGAUUUUUCGGUUUGGGAGGGGCCUGCGUACUAUCAGCUAGUUGGUAAGGUAAUGGCUUACCAAUGCUAUGACGGUUAACUGGUCUGAGAGGAUGAUCAGUCGCGAUGGGACUGAGACACGGCCCAUACUCCUACGGGAGGCAGCAGUAAGGAAUCUUCCACAAUGGACUAUAGUCUGAUGGAGCAACACCGCGUGAUCGAUGAAGCCUUUAGGGGUGUACAGAUCUUUUCUGAGAGAAGAACUCUGACGGUAUCUUAGGAAUAAGCACCGGCUAACUCCGUGCCAGCAGCCGCGGUAAUACGGAGGGUGCAAGCGUUACCCGGAAUCAUUGGGCGUAAAGCGUCCGCAGGCGGUUUGUUAAGUAAGAUGUUAAAUUUUCCAGCUCAACUGGAAAUCUAUGUCUUAAACUGGCAAACUAGAGUAUUACAGAGGUGUGCAGAAUUCUGUGUGUAGGGGUAAAAUCCG